rnacentral:rRNA from 1 species
CCUACGGGGUGCAGCAGUCGAGAAUCAUUCACAAUGGGGGAAACCCUGAUGGUGCGACGCCGCGUGGGGGAAUGAAGGUCUUCGGAUUGUAAACCCCUGUCAUGUGGGAGCAAAUUAAAAAGAUAGUACCACAAGAGGAAGAGACGGCUAACUCUGUGCCAGCAGCCGCGGUAAUACAGAGGUCUCAAGCGUUGUUCGGAAUCACUGGGCGUAAAGGGUGCGUAGGCUGUUUCGUAAGUCGUGUGUGAAAGGCGCGGGCUCAACCCGCGGACGGCACAUGAUACUGGGAGACUAGAGUAAUGGAGGGGGAACCGGAAUUCUCGGUGUAGCAGUGAAAUGCGUAGAUAUCGAGAGGAACACUCGUGGCGAAGGCGGGUUCCUGGACAUUAACUGACGCUGAGGCACGAAGGCCAGGGGAGCGAAAGGGAUUAGAUACCCCUGUAGUC